rnacentral:sRNA from 1 species
UCUAAUUGCGUUUUUGUGGAACCACUGUC